AGAGUUGGGGGACAGGAUGGGAGGCUGUCUUCAUUCCCUCCUGACCACCCCCCGUUUCUUCCCCCAG
rnacentral:miRNA from 1 species